rnacentral:tRNA from 1 species
GACGAGGUGGCCGAGUGGUCAAGGCGAUGGACUGCUAAUCCAUUGUGCUCGCACCGCGUGGGUUCGGCCAUCCUCGUCG